AUUGAACGCUGGCGGCGUGCCUAAUACAUGCAAGUCGAGCGAAUCAAUGGGAGCUUGCUCCCGGAGAUUAGUGGCGGACGGGUGAGUAACACGUGGGUAACCUGCCUGUAAGACUGGGAUAACUUCGGGAAACCGGAGCUAAUACCGGAUAGUUUCUUCUCUCGCAUGAGAGAAGAUGGAAAGAUGGUUCUGCUAUCACUUACAGAUGGACCCGCGGCGCAUUAGCUAGUUGGUGAGGUAACGGCGCACCAAGGCGACGAUGCGUAGCCGACCUGAGAGGGUGAUCGGCCACACCGGAACUGAGACACGGUCCGGACUCCUACGGGAGGCAGCAGUGGGGAAUUUUGCGCAAUGGGCGAAAGCCUGACGCAGCGACGCCGCGUGGAGGAUGAAGGUGCUCUGCAUUGUAAACUCCUGUCGGCCGGGAAGAAUGGGCGGGGUGCUAAUCAGCCCCGUUUUGACUGUACCGGCAAAGGAAGCCCCGGCUAACUCCGUGCCAGCAGCCGCCGUAAUAC
rnacentral:rRNA from 1 species